UUCAGCAAAUAAACCUUAAGACUCUUAAUUCGCUUCGUGAAACUGAACAUUUUGCAAUGUUUAUCCCAAAAUUGGGAUUAUAGUAGCUUUGUCACAUGCGUGAAGCAUGGCCCAGAUAGACAUUUACGGAAUGUACACGACUGACAAGCCGUCAAACACGUUUGACAGAUUGAAUAUUUGCCGGUUUGGGUUAGCUAGCUAGUCAAAUAGCUUGGUAGCCGAAGUUGCGAAGUUUUAACAUAGGCUACUGGACUACCAAAUAUAGCAAGCUGAUUACGCUUUCUGCCAACUAGUUAUUUGGUUAAGUAGGCUAAAGGAAAUAGUAAAAAUGACUCGCCUACCGAAAAACUUCAGAGGAUGAUUAUUUUAUGGUCGUCUACUGCAGCUGUAAAUAGCACACGCCAUAAUGAAAUCACUACGAAAUGGGAUGCCUGCAUUUUCUGACUUCGCACAGACUUACAUGGAAACCGGAUAUGAAAACACCUAUACUGGAGCCAACCGUAGUGGCGCUAGUGAGCAACCAGGAACAAUAAGACCAGGAAAUGAGCUUCAAAAACGAAGUCUGGUUUUGGCCGCUUGGUUGUGAAUUGGUUCAGUUGCAGCGCUGCAGCUGGGUACUAUUGGAGUCCUUUUGCGACAACAACACGCAGUAUUCAACAUGAUCAAGCAUACAGGCAAGAUAAAUGAUGGUUGAUUUGUGGCCAUUUAAGUUAAGUUUUUAUAACUUAAUUUCCUUAUGCAAUAUUGAUAUUCAAAUUAUAUCAGAUUGUUCAAUACGUAUGUUGAGGAAAAGCCACAAAACAGCAGCCAUAUGGAUUUCAUGACAGCAGAUUUUUAGAUUUUCGUAGUGACAACGGUCAAAUUGACCCCUGUGGUGUUUCUAGUUUUAACUACUUUUUAAUCUACCUUAACCUUGCAAAUGCCACAUUUUUUAAUUAACAUGAGCUCGGCGUAUAAAUUAUCUGCCGACAUACAUUUAAAAACAUGACAUUUUCAUUUAUUUGUAAUCCAUGAUUGAAUCCAUGCCUAUGUGUUUCUUAAAGCUAGAAUGCAUGUGUAUGCAUGUCUCUCACUAGACUUAAUGAUCUUAUGGUUCAUACAUGUACACGCAUUAUUAUUAUCAGUUACUCAUAAGAGUACAAAAAGAAAUUAUCUCAACAAAAAAUGAUUUCAACGUUCAAAACUGCCAAGUUAUGCAUACAAAGCACUGUUUAUAAGUCGUUCAUGAAAGCUUGCAAACCCUAGGUCUGCCAUUAAAAGUAUUGACAUCAAAAUGAGGCCAUUUGGCAACCUUAGCUCACAAAUUAAACAAGCUCUAUUUCAAAGCAGUGCUACCCAAUGUUUUCUAAAUUAUUUCAUGCAACUUGGCCCUGAGCUUUUUCAUCUUACCAUCCUACUUGCUGCUGCUACCAAGCUAUGAGUGGAAACAACAAACGGUGUUUUAUAUUUAUUAGUUCAUGAUCCACUGCAAUGAUGCUAAAUGCAAAGUUUCUAAGUGCCACCAUUGUCAUCUAUUUAACAGGCACCUCCUCCCCACAGGCUCGUCUGCAACUAUACCUAUUGAGGAAUAUUUCGGACAAAAUUAAAUUAAUAAAUACAUCAUGAAAUGUGAGCAUAAAUAAUGAAUUGUGGCACGAAAUGUACGUAUGUAUUUAUUUCUUUAUUUAUUUCAAUGACGCUACGUGUGACAUGAAAUAAGGCUUGAAAUUCAAACCGCCACUUUCACCCAUCAAAGUUGGGAGGGCGGGCUCUAGCGAUUACUGUUUUUUUAUUGGUGCAUCGACAUGAUUCGAUUGUUCAUGCGCUGGAGGUGUGCUGUUGGAGCCCUAAACAUAUAUACGUAUAUAUGACUAUGGUUGGAGCCCCCAUAUGGUGCUAACAACCAAGUUAAACUAUGCGGUUGUUCCCUGCAUUUGGAACGGUACUUCUCUCUAGGGUUUUCGACACACUUGUUCCUGGUUAUGGUUAUACACUUUGUAGUACGUUGUUCUGGAUAAGAGUGUCUGCCAAAUGGCUGUAAUGUAAUGUAAUGUAACCGUGCUACCUGUGCUGUUGAAUAAAAAAAGCAACACAUUUGAAUUUCUGAUGUGUAGCAAGGAAGGAAGGAACAUAGGGCGCGGGAACAUCAGGCUGAGCUAGCAUAAGGAUGAUGCCUGAAAAAGAUAGCUUGGCACACUGAAAUUACCUUGGCCAGAGGUGUGUUCAAAUUCAGCGAACAGAGGCGAACGUUCGUGAUGAACACAAACACAAAGCUAAUGGAAAAAAAGUUUGAAAUAGGCUGCAAACGUUUGCCUUGUUCGCUGAAUUUGAACGCACCUCAGGAGUAGUAGAGUGAAUAGAUGGUACAUUUACAAAAGAUGAUUCUGGAGUUGUUUCUGCAGAGACCUGCGAGGAAUUCAGUGCCUCUUGAAUCAAAUUAGCUGCGUCGCGGUGUAAUUGUGGGCAACUUUUCUGCUUGUCCUGACCGCCCGCUGGCACAACAUAGUGUUCUACUGCAUUUUGCUUGCCUUGGGAAUCCUAUCGCUCAUCGCUGGAUUGCUGUAGACUGUAGCCACUAGAGGCGGGUCUCUCAGAAAUACUCAACCUAUCACUAAGCCUCCUGUGUUUUGUGUACUCGCUAGAGCCCGCCCACCCAACUUUGAUAGGUGAAAGUGACGGUUUUAAUUUCAAGCCUUAUUUCAUGUCGCAUGUAGCAUCAUUGAAAUAAAUAAAUGAUUAAAUAAAUGCAUUUCGUGCCAAAUUUAAUUAUUUAUGCUCACAUUUCAUGAUUUAUUUAUUUAUUUAAUUUUAUCCGAAAUAUUCCUCCAUAUAUACCCCCCAAGCAUGACAUGCUGAACAACAGCGUUCCAUCUGGGAGUUCAUAAAAAAAAAUUAAAAAAAAAACAUAUUCUGUGAUAGCAACAGAUAAUGCCAACAAUAGCGUGAAGGGAUGCCAAUACAGUGGUGAAAAAUGCUGCUCACUGAAUAGCGAAAUAAACAAGAGCUAUUUUUAUGGAAUUAUACCAUGUCAUUCUGCUAUCAAUAACUGUGACUAAAUAUGGAAUAACUAUACAUGUAAAGAUAGCCCUUUCAAUAUAUAGUGGUCAUUUAUUGACUUGAACAAUCCAUUUCAGAAAUAAACACGCAAAUAGAAAGCGGGGGUAAAGGCAACAUUCAAAACCUCACUUGCGAUUUAUGCUGGUGUAACUCUGUUCUGAUCUUUAUAGUUUGAUUCAUACCUCUUUCAUCAUUUAGAGGACAGUUCAGCUUUUAAAUGACAUAUGGCAUGGUUCAUUUGAAUUUUAUUGCAAAGCGUGAGAGCCCCGUGUAUCUGCAUGAGUGGUUGCUUCAGCACUGCGUAUAUUCUGCUGUAGCAGUGCACAGUAGUAUACAAACAUUUGUUGAGGUGUAAUAGUUUUUCUCCUUCGCUUUUUGAGGAAACUUUUACAAAUGUUUCCAACUCAUCAGCAUGGCUAAAGCUAAUUUUCUGGGAGGAAGUCAGAAGAACAGGAAGCAUUUAUUCUAGCUAGGAUAUAUAUGAACAUGUAUGUAUUACUUCUUGUAACAUUUCUAUUUACUUGUGUAAUAUUUUUUAAUAUUUUUAGAUUUGCAUUGGUCGUAAAAGGCAGCUAUUAAUCGUUGCUAAAAAUGCUGAACACAUAUGUAUCAGGGAGCAACCUUCAGUGUUUGUAUCGCGGCAUUGUUCGCGUACACUGUACAGUGUGAGCAUACUGUAUUGGCUUGUAGAGGCUUGCAGUGGCCUGGUUUGUUAAAAUUCAUACCACUCACAAUGAAAUAGUGUGAUUUUCAAGAGGUUUGCUAUAUUCUCUAAUGUGGGGAUUUCAAAUGCUGUAGUGUAAGCAUUCAUAGGUGGCUCAAUCAUGUGUUAUGCACCAAUUUACUGUGAAUCCCUGGCUGUUAGUAUGGAAUGGAAAUGGCAAGGAAAAUACUCAUUCAAAUUUACUGUAUGCUGACAUGUGAUAGAUGAACAUACAAUUUACCUUGGAGUGAUCAUAAUAGUAACAUGUCAUCCCAUCCUCAUGCGGCAAAAGAUUACAUACUGUAGAGUACAGAAAACAUACAAGUGUGAAUGAUUACAUAUUUAGGUAUGUGUACCACAGCAUGGCACAUUGUUUUUGCAUUAUUUUUCAAUGUGAUAUCUAGGGCUGCCACUAACAACUAUUUUUCUAUCGAUUAAUCUAUCAACUAUUUUACCAAUUAGUCGAUUAAUCUAAACGAUUAAUUUUCUUCCAAGAAAAUCAAAUUGACCGUUUAAUUUAAGUUCAUUUUAUGUUGACAACAAUAAAUUGUAUGUGUCAUUGUAUAAUGCAGCACAAAACAAAAUGUAAACAAAGGUUUACAUAUUAAAGUGCAAAACUGUAGGUUUAAACUGGCAACUCCAACAUGAUAAAAAAUUUAACAAAAUAAAAAAGAGGGCUUAUUAUUUAAGUCAGUAGUGCAACUCCAAAAUAAAUCCACGUUUCUAUUAAACCCCUUAUCAAAGUAAAGAAAUUAGGUCUGCAUAUUAAACAAAGUGUAACAUGUUUAGAGUGUAAGAGACAAUGGUGUCCAGCUCAAAGUCCAACUCAAAUAUUGGAAUCAAAUGUCUGUUAGACAUGUGUGUUGUAAUGUCAGAAUGUCAACAUGUCCACAUGUUCUGGACUUACAGUAGGCUAGCUCUUUUCUUGGAAACUUUUCACUACUAACGCUUACAUUACAGUGUGAAAUAUCCACAUUUUAUAAUACUCAAUCCACAUUAUAUAACACUCAAUUUCAAAAAUAACGUAUAUAACCAAAAUAUUUUGAGCAGUAAUACUUACAUAGCAAUGAUGAAAUUUUAUCUGUGUUCAGUAGAUAGAGACAGCAGGCUAAAUCAAUGACUGUUCUAUCCGCUUCUGUUUUGCUCGAGAAAAGGAUGUCAGUUAUGUCUAUCAGCAAACAUAUUGCUUAGCUAUGCCCAGAAGUCCUCAAUAAUAAUAGUAUUUUCCAAGAAAUUACGAAAAAUCGUUGACAAUGUUUUGUUAGGUGCAUCGUCUUUUUACUGCUACCACAGAGGGAAUGCGUAAGUGAAUGCGAUGAUAAGAAAAUUUUCGGUUACGCUGACCUAUAAAACGCUAUUCCAAAAGCAAAAUUAGUUAUACAUCGUUAGAAAGCUUAUACUUUCACCUACUGAAUAAAUUAAUUGUCAAUCAAGCCAGACUGUACUAAAAAGGGCGACAACGCCGUAAACAACGCAUGUGGUAUUACGCACAGCUAUUUUUGAAACCUCUGAACCUCUUCCCCACCAAGUCGGACCCUGCUGCAGCCGCCAUGAUUUUUAAAAAAACUGUAGCGUUGACUGGAGCCGACCAAUGACUGGAGCUGUCACAACAAAUUUUAUCCCCCUACAAAUAUCAUCCCCCUAUUCACUUCCAGGGUUACGUUUCCGGUUACGUUCCCUUAAUGCAUAAGUUAGCAUCAGCUUGACUGCCUUGCAUGCAUGGUUUCCAAGUGUUCUCUGCUGAUUGCUAACGACAGUGAGCGAUCGCUAGCUAGCUGGCUAGCUAGCAAGAGAAGCUUUUAUGAAAGUCUAAGCGAAACUCUUCCAGCUAGCUAUUGAUCUGUCUCGCUGGCUAUAUAUAUAUCUCUCGUGCUAGCUAGCUAGCAAUCUAUGAAACUUACUAGAGAGAGAGAUUUUUUAAAUAUUAAUUAUUGUACUCACUGUUUCACCUAAUUUACACACGCCAUUACACAAGCUAAGAUACAGAAAUACCACACACAUACACACACACAAAUUUGUAUUCUGUUCAUAUGUUUAUUGUUUGUUGUACUCAUGUUUUUACAAUAUGUAUAUAUAUAUAUACGUUAUGCCAAUAAAGCUCAUUUGAAUUUGAAUCUUCGGACAGAGAGAUCUGACCAAUCGGCACAAUGUAACGGCACAACAUAACCCUGGAAGUGAAUAGGGGAGAUUAAAUUUGUAAGGUGGAUGAAAUUUGUUGUGACAGAGCCAAAAACGACUGACGUUACGUAGCAAUUAUGUAGUGAUAUUAAAGAAAAACAUUUGUUAUAAUGAAUUGAAGCGUUUUUGAAAUCAAAAAGGUAAAUUCAUAAAAAUAAAAAAAACGAUGCGUCAGGUUAAAAUAUUGAUGUUGACGCAUUUUCAGCGUCGACGUCAUCGAUUACAUCGACUAAUCGUGGCAGCCCUAGUGAUAUCAAUGUUUCAUCAUUAACCAUAAUAAAGGGGCAAAUUAGUAUGCUUUAUAAUGGACAAAAAGCAUUUGGAUAGGUUUUUUAACCCCUAUACUCAUGAAAAGAUAGUAUUUCUCUAUUGAAAAUGAUGCAAAAGUGAGUUUCAUGAGUUAAGACAGUUGAUUUGUAGUGACAUAUAUGAUUAUGUUAGGAUUUAGAACAUAUGUACAAUUUACAUAUUUUAGAUAGAUUUGGAGACUCGAAGGAUAUACUGCUUACUUUUUGCUUCAUAGAUGUUUAGAAGUUCUGCAUAUCACCCUCAUAUUUUGCAUACUUGUGGUCAAGGAGUUUAUGAUGAUGUAUAGUUUUCCCUGCUAUAUAUGCAAUGUGAUCUCUCUGUGUUUCAUUUCAAACUGAAGGAGAACUUCAUUUUGGAAUUGUCGCUAAGAUAAUUGCAUUAGUGGCACUUUAUUUCCACCACAGUUUGCCAGUCCAUCACAGGGCACACACAUUCACUCACACACUCAUACUUUUUUCAGGGCCGAUUUAGGGCUCUUUAGAGGUAGAGAAAUUUAAUGCAAAAAUCAACCCUGGUUAAUUCCGUGAACUUAAGUGAAUUCCAGUUUUGGCUCAUGAAACUCACUUUUGCAUAAUUUUCAAGUGGGAAUUAAUAUCUUUUCAUCAGUAUAGGAGACUAAGAUAUCUAGGGGUCCAAAAACCUAUCCAAAACCUCUCCAAAAAUUAAUAAAAUGGCAUAGGGCAAAUAGAUUUGCUGCUUAUGAUGGUUUAAGAUGAAAUAUUGAUAUCACAUGGAAAAAUAAUGCAAACACAUUGUGACAUGCUGUGGUACACAUACAGUUGAGGCCAAAAGUUUACAUACACCUAGCCUAAAUAUAUUCAAACUCAGUUUUUUUACAACUCACAUUACGUUACCAUAAAUUUAUUUUGGAAAGUCAAUUAGGGCAUCUACUUUUUUCACAUCAGAGAUAAUUUUAAAAGAGUCGAUGGCAGACAGAUUUAAUUUAAUUCACCAUAUCAGAAUUCCAGUGGGUCAAAAGUUUACAUACACCAAGUUGACUGUCUCUUUAAACAGUCUGGAAGAAUCCAGAAAUUGAGAAAUUUAGAAGCUUCUGAUUGGUCAAUUGUCAUAAUUAGGAGUUAAUUGGGAGUUAAUGGGGAAAUCCAAGCAACUCAGCCGAGACCUCAGAAAAAAAGAUUGCGGACCUCCACAAGUCCGGUUCCUCCUUGGGAGCAAUUUACAAACAACUGAAGGUACUACAAGCAUCUGUACAAACAAUCGUAUGCAAAUAUAAAUAUCUUAGGACCACACAGACACUGCAUCGAUCAGGAAGGAGGCACAAAUUACCUCCCAGGGCUGAACGAACUUUGGUCCGAAAGGUUCAACUGAACCCCAAGACAACAACAAAGGAACUGGUGAAGGAGUUGAAGGCAUCAGGUACCAAAGUAUCUACAUCCACCAUUAAGAGAAUCCUACAUCGCCAUGGCCUAAAAGGCUGUCGCGCAAAAAAGAAGCCCCCUACUCCAAGACAGUCAAAAAAAAAGGUCAGAAUAAAGUUUGCAGGUGAUCACCAGGACAAAGACCUAGCCUUUUUGAGGAGUGUUCUCUGUUCAGAUGAAACAAAAACCGAACUGUUUAGCCAUAAUGAUCACCGCCAUGUGUGGAGGAAAAAGGGUGAGGCUUUUAAUCCUAAGAACACUGUCCCAACUGUGAAGCAUAGGGGUGGCAGCAUCAUGUUGUGGGGGUGUUUCUCUGGAAAACUGACUGGUGCACUUCAGAAAAUAGAUGGCAUCAUGAGGUAUGAGGAUUAUUGAGAAAUACUGAAGCAACGCCUCAAGACAUCAGCUAUAAAGUUAAAACUUGGUCACAACUGGGUGAACAAGGUGGCCCUCGAACCUGACUGAGUUACACCAGUUCUGUCAGGAGGAAUGGACAAACAUUCGAGCAAAUUAUUGUGAGAAGCUUGUGGAAGGCUACCCCAAGUGUUUGAUUCAAGUUAAGCAAUUAAUAGGCAAGACCACCAAAUAGUAACAAAGUGUAUGUAAACUUUUGACCCACUGAAAAUUGUACAUAAAAUCUGAAAUAAAUCUGUCUCUUUGCUAUUAUUUUGAAAUGAUCUCUUAUGGAAAUAAAGUAGAUACCCUAAUUGACUAAACACAGGAAUUGUACGGUAAUAAAAAAUGUGUGGAGUUGUGAAAAAUUGAGUUUGAUUGUCUUUAACCUAGGUAUAUGUAAACUUUUGGCCUCAACUGUACCUAAAUAUGUAAUCAUUCAGUAUUGCAAGUUUUUCCUUACUCUAUGUUGCAUUGCGGAUGGGACGAAAUUUUACAAAUUAUAUUUAUGAUCACUGCAAGGGAAGUUUUACUUUCAUCUAGCACGUAUCAGCAUGCAGUAAAAUUUGAAUGAGUAUUUCCCAUGGAAGUAUAGCCCAUGUAGAUACUAAUACCCCAAAUUAUGUACAAUAAGAUUACAAUAAAAUAAUAUUCCUCCAUCAGAAAAUGUUGGCAAUGUUCGGGCUUCACAGUAAGUUGGUGCAUCAAAUAUGACACAUGACUGAGCCACCUAUGACUCCUUACACUGCUGCAUGUGAAAUCCCUGCAUUAGAGAAUAGCACAAUAGCACAAAAAUCACCCAAUUUCAUUGUGAGUGGUAUGAAUUCUAACAAAGCAGGCUUCUACGAACCACUACACUCUGCUUACAUGCUUAUGCCAAGUGUUCGUUAACAAUUCCACUUUAUGAAUACAAAUGUUUGGUGGUGAAAGAAUAUUUUUAUGAACUCCUAGACACUAUUUUCCAGUGUGUCAUAGUUGGGGGGUAUAGUUGCAGAUGAGACUGGAGACUUGUUAAAUGGACGACCUACAUGACAAUGGUGGCACUUAGAAACUCUGUAUUUAGCAUCAUUUUAGUGUGCUGUGCAUUAAUGAAGCUGAAACUCAUAGUUUGGUUGUAGGAACACCGAGGGCACUAUUUUUUGGCCAGCACACGGUGUGUUGCAGCAGUGGUGAAAUUGUAUUUUCGGCAUAUAAUUUAAUGCGCUUGAGCGGUUUGGUAAUUGUGUGAGUCUCCGUGCACCGAAAGGGAGAGGAGCCGCUGCUGGGGGCGUGUCAGUCAAUAUCACAUUACACAGUGUAAUUUUGGCAGCUCAUUUGAACUGUUUGGUACAUUGCGAUUUCGUAUCAUUUUGACUUUUGAAGCAGACUGAAAGCUGUUUCAAUUACUUGUGGACAAAUCGUUCAGUUUAUGACAAAAAAUUAGUACUUGAAUAGUUUUUGUUUUUAUCAUAUAGUUAUAUGUCACGCUAAUUUAUAAUUUAUUAUUGUUAAACAUGAUUAUUUUUUUAAUUGUUUGCAGCAUCAUUAAAAUAAGAGAAAAUGUUUUUAUUUUACCAUUUCAGUUUUCUGAACAUAUUUCUGCCAGGUACUCUGCUGAUAUAUUUACCCAUUAUAAAGCAAUGGUAUGUUCUGUUGAAAUGACUGUAUGAUACUGUAGUGUGCGGUGCAGCUAGUCGGUCAAGUAAUGAGGCAAUGGAACUGUUUCUCUUAAACAGCCAACCGGCUAACUUUUAUUCCCUGCCAAAACCGGCUUACAGGUUGAGAUGUCGCUUCUAACAUUAACCCCAUGUGGCCUGCCCUGCUACCAUCGAGAUAUACAAGAACUGGAGACAGUUUCUGUUUACCGGUUCCAUGGAUUCCUAUGGGAGAUGCUCAAAGGCGCAUGAAGCCAAUUCAUGGACGCAGCCAUGUUUGACUAUCAGCUGUUGGCACCGGAGUGUGCGCACUGGGUACCUAAAGGUGAAGAAUCACGGCAUGGGUGCUCGGGCACGGAAGCACCCAUGGAAGGUCGAGCACCCAUGGGAAAAAUGCACUUGAUAGGCCUACUGUAUAUGCGCCAGCGUAGAGUUGGGGCCAAAUUUACAUUGAUUUGAUAGCAAACUCCACCCAGCAUAUGCUGCAUGGCAUAGCCCACUAACAUUAGACGCACUGUCCAAUUGAAAGCGAUGUCAGAUUAACCGCUAAUGUGUAGAGAAAGGCUGGCUGGCAACUCAUUAGCUAGCCUUCACCUAGCCCAACAAAAUGGACAAAUUUGUGAUUAAACAACCAAAAACAUCAAGCAAUAUAACGAUUUCCACCAUUGCGACUUCCAGUUCCACCAGUGCCUCCAGCAGUGCCCAGUCAACUAGUAACAACAGUAAUAAAGAUAACGACAACCGCAGCAGCGAAGAUGGACAAAAGAAGCGAUGGACUUAUCAAGCUAGUCUAUGAAGCCACAAAAAACAAGGUAUUUUGUGAGGUUUUCACCACAGCUAAAAACAUGGGUGCCCCGCUUCCAUCCAUAACACACGAUCAAGAAUCUUUGAAAGCUUUUGUGCGAGAUGGCUUUUCCAGCUGGGCUAAAGCACUAGAACGAUUCCGAUUUCACGAAAAGUCAAAUCUGCAUAGAGCUACUGUUAGCAUUGUUGCCGCUGCUGAUGUGGGUGUUAAUGUUGCCGGUAAACAAAAGCAGAUGGCGAUGCGAGAAUAGCUUUGUUGGGUAUUCUGUCCUCUAUCCAAUAUCUUUCGUGUCAGGGAUUGGCCAUUCAAGGAAAAACAGAGGAGGAGUCCAAUUUGACCCAGUUGCUAAACUUGCGUGCUCAAGAUAUCCCAGAGUUACAGUCAUGGCUGGCUUGUAAGGAGAGCAAGUGGCUAUCUCAUGAUAUCCUAAACGAGAUGACUGAAAUUAUGGCCUAUGAUGUGCUGAGAACGCUAAUUGAAGAAAUAAAGUCUGGUGAGUUUUUCUCUGUGAUUAUGGACGAGACAGCCGACAUUACGGUCAAAGAGCAGGUGUCUAUCUGCUUCCAUUUUGUGACUGAAAAUCUGGAGCCAGAUGAACUUUCUGUUGGAUUUUAUGAGACAUCAAAAACAACAACAGACACACUUUUUCAGCUGUUAAAAGACGUUCUGAUGAGAUUCUCACUGCCAAUCGGUAAAUGUAGAGGACAGUGCUACGACGGCGCGUCAAAUGUUUCUGGCAUCUGUUACAGGCUGGCGUGCAGGAACAGGAGCCCCGAGCACUGUACAUCCAUUGCACCGCACAUAUUGUGAAUUUGGUUGUGCAUGAUGUUGCCCAAAACAUUCCCGCAUGUCGCAACUUCAUGGAACUUAUUUGUGACAUGAUAACACUGAUCAGAAAUUCACCAAAGUGCCUCACUUGGUUCCAAGAGUUUCAAGGCAAAGAAGCACCGUCUUUGAGACCUCUGUGCCAGAGGUGGGUAGUAACGCAUUAUAUUUACUCCGUUACAUUUACUUAAGUAACUUUUUGAAUAAAUUGUACUUGUAAGAGUAGUUUUAAUGCAACAUACUUUUCACUUUUACUCAAGUAUAUUUGUGAAGAAAAAAUGUUACUUUUACUCCGUUAUAUUCGGCUACAUUCCGCUCGUUACUUUUAUUUUUUACCCAUUUUUUAUUCAAUGCACGUUCUGUUCGUUUCAUUCUCUCAGAGAGACUUCAGCCAAAGAGGCUGACUGGUCUUUGCUUUGGCUCUGUCAUAGCCCCACAUGACUCCGUUUCACCAAUCAAACGUAGCCAGUUACAGCACACAGAAGGAUGAGUGGGCGACAACAAUGGCUGAAACAACUGCGGGUGAUUCGUAGGAGGCAGAACACCCCUGGCCUCACGUUCAAACUACGUUUUACUUACAGACUACCAAAAAAAGUAGUCACAUUAUGCGCUGCCUUCUUUGUCUGCCUAGAAAUGUGGACAUUUCAGCCUACAAGAACUCAACUUCGAACUUGAGAAAAUAUGUGGCGGUAAGUUGUAGGUUAGUUUUGGCUGUGGAUAGCUAACUAUUUGACUGAGUGGUCAUUUAUUGUCUUGGACAAUCCGUUUGUGAAAUAUACGGGCAUUUGUGAUGCCUCGGUAUCUUCCAAAAUAGCUGUGCGUAAUACCACACGCGUUGUUUACGGCGUUGUCACCCUUUUUAGUACAGUCUGGCUUGAUUGACAAUUAAUUUAUUCAGUAGGUGAGAGUAUAAGCUUUCUAACGAUAUAUAGCAUGUCUAAUUUUGCUUUUGGAAUAGCUUUUUUUAGGUCAGCGUAACCGAACAUUUUCUUAUCAUCACAUUCACUUAUGCAUUUACUCUGUGGUAGAGUAAAAGACGCAGCACGGAACGUGGUCAAGGAUUAUUCGUAAUUUCUUGGGAAAUACUAUUAUUAUUGAGGACUUCUGGGCAUAGCUAAGCCGUAUGUUUGCUGAUAGACCCAGAUGACAUCGUUUUCUGGAGAAAAACAGAAGCGGAUAAUCAGAUAAUCAUUAUUAUUUUAAAGUAACAAUACUUUUACUUGAGUACAGGUUUUAGCUACUCUACCCACCUCUGCUCUGUGCCCAACGCGCUGGACCGUGAAAACGGCCUCGUUACAAUCCAUUGCUUCCAACUAGAGCGCGCUAAUGGGAUUUCUCGAGGACCUGUGUUUAAACGACAAAGGUGACGCAGGAGGUAAAGCCAACGGUCUGCUUUUGCUCCUGCAGAAAUUUAGCACUUUUUUCUCAUUGAAACUCAUGCUGAAAUUCUUCUUGCACAUGGAAACAUUCAAUAUUGCACUCCAAAAGAGCCAGUUGCACCUACAGAAAGCUAGACAGAUGGUUGACAUGCUCAGAGAAGACAUAACGUGGCUUUGUGAAGAAGGAUUCCAAGAAACACUACCACAGCAGCACAUGACCUGAACUUGGAGAGCCCAACUGUGCCAAGACCAAGAAAAAUUCCCCGUCGACUGGAAGAUGGAGGUGAGCCGCCACACAGAUUUCGACACCAGGAGCAUUGUACCGACAGCAAUACUUUGAGAUCAUGGAUACAACAUCAACAUCCCUGGAUUGCAGAUUUAGUCCUUCUGCAUUCAAACACAUGCAAGAUGUUGAGGAUUUUGUGACCGGAAAGGGUGACUGCAAAAGCAUCGUGCAGUUCCAUGGGGAUGAUUUGGAUGAAGUGAGGCUGACAUUGCAUCAUGAUAUGUGACGGACGAGGAGUUUGCCUAGUUACUUUUCAAAAUGUAGUGGACUUCCUGAAAGGUAAUCAGGGAGAGCACUUUAGAACCAUGUUGCCAGAGAUCACCAAACUAGUGAAAUGCGCACUGACUGUCCCUGUAACAUCCUGCAGUUCAGAAAGGUCAUUUUCAGGCCUGCGGCAUCUUAAAACUUAUCUGUGGUCCACAAUGGGGCAAGCAAGACUGAACCAUGUUGCUGUAUUGAACUGUCACAAGAGUGUGUCACGAAGUAGGAACCUGAAUGUAAUCGCAGAUGAAUUCAUCAAGCGCAUGGCUGCAAGGAGUAACACUUUCCUCCAAUUUUUAAUGUUUAGUAGCUGUGUGGGCCUAUGUGUUGACGGUUAAUUAAUUGACUGUAUUUUACUGUGUGCACUUGUAUGCUUUCUUUGCAUGUGUAUUAUAACUUGUUUGGCUUGUUAAUAGGCCCCUUGUGGCCUAUACUGUUAUGUUGCAUUCUGUACGGGUGUACUAUAGCAGCGGUGUCUCACAGCCACGGUGGUGUCGGAUUGUGUUGGAUUGUGCACCUAUGAUUUAUGUUCAUGUGUUGUGUUAAUUUUAUUAGCUACUAAGUGUUUAUUUAUUUGUCACGAGUCAUCACCAGGAACAAUGGACACAAGAAAAUUAUGGCAGGUAACAUUACUAUUAUUAAUAUAUCAAAAUAACAAUAUAAUCAAAACAAUAAUGGCGGUGGAUUUGUGUUAUUUUAGGCCAUGGUUUAAUACUCUGUGUAUUCUGAUAUAUUGGUUCUGUGCAAGCAACUCUGAAUUCAACCCUUUUCUGCAUCGAUGAGUCAACAACAGUCUCAUACUCAUUCAUGCUCUAAGCAGUUAUGAGCACUGUGACGUAAAACAAUGCGGACCAAAUUGGAAUGAAAUAUAAAAUCCUUCUGUGGGACUCAAAACAAAAAUCGGUGCCUGGGUCGUAAUCAGUGUGAAGAAAUUUUAGACCUAAAAAGUUCUGUCCAGAAUUAUUUAAUUUGGCCAGGGUAAAUUAGUUUUGAAUGGUCUUCAUUGGGGAAAUUUUCUUUUUGGCACCAGAGGCUUACUAAACUGCAAUACCUUGAGUAACCACUGGAGUUUAUGAGCUUCACCGAGAAUGGCAAUCCCUGGUCCCCUGGCACUGACUAGUGCUGGCUCGCUCCCCAUGGUUCUGUGAUCCAUACGCAGUUCAGUAACCAUGGAAGUUCAAAGUACUUCACGGUCCUGUUCCUUGUAGGCUAUUCAUCAGUUGAAUGCUUUCCACAAAUCAGAGUGAUAUGGUGAGUCAUAUAUUGACCAACCAGAGUCUAGCGUUGAAUAAAUCAACUUGGCUAUAAAUUCGUUACCGAAUCAUGUCAAGAAAAAUCACGCAUUGAUUCUUAUUCUUAUAUGUAUUUUGGAUAUAACUGGGUUGAAAAUGUGACUGUAAACACCUUAGUUUGAUAGAAACAGGAGUUUCUCCAUUACAGUCUAUGGGGAAAUCGAGAUUUGGUAUUUGAUAUUGGUUUCUGCAACUUCUAACUCCUCAUGUCUCUCCAGUUCCUGGUUAUGCUCUAUGGUUUGAGUCAAUAACAGUCGGUUCAUACGCGGGUGUGCUCGUUUAUGCAGUUAAGCGCACUGUGACGUAAAACCUUGCGGACCAAAAUUGAAAUUAAAUAGCAAUGAUAUCUUCUUCCGUGGUACUCUGAAAACAAAUCGAUGCCUGGAGAGUAACUACUGGAGUUUAUGAGCUUCACGGAGAAUGGCAAUCCCUGGUCCCCUGCCUGCUACAGACUGACCUUCCUGUUACUGGGUUCCCUUGGGAUCUUAAAAAGUCUUAAAUUUAAUAAUCAGAAUUUUAGGCCUUAAAAAGUCUUAAAAGGUCUUAAAUAUGAUUUUUUUAAAAGUCUUAAAAAUUGAUUGGAUUAGGAAGUUACUUCUAUGUUGCGAUAACUUCUCUGUAUCACGUUUAAUAGCCUAUCAGUCCACCCCCCCCACCCGCCGCUAACAAUUUGUAUGGAAAUAAAUCAACAUGGAACCAAUAACCGCUAACUUUGCAGCCCCCGUUGAGAACUUAGCAGAGAACACCCAGCUAGCAACUGCGCCUAGCAACCAAGCUUGAGCUAGGGUCAGUCAGAGCCUGAGGUAAAGAGAAAUUCUGCUAGCGUGUCGCGAUCAUACAUCUUGAAAUCUUUACUUUUGUAACUUUAUGGGGAACUAUGGAGAAGUGGAGGGGAACGUUUUUGAAGCCCGCUGCACCUUAUGUAAGAAAAGUUAAACUAGGUACAUUGGGGGUAAAGGCUUUAGAAUCGCAUGGUCAGUCAGAGAAACACAGACCCAAGUGAAAAACCAACAACAAACGCCUGCUAUCUCUUCCGUGUUCGACCCUGCUUCGGGACCAUCAAGUGUGUUAACACGGCGACACAAUUGAAUCGAGAAAUAGCCUACUUUUUUUUGAAAAAAGCACUAUAUUCUGUAACUGAAUUUAGAUCAAACCUACCAUGCACAAAAAUAUAAAAAUGCUCGUCAAUCUGUGUAUAGUGUCAUCAUAGCGUGGAGUGUUUAAAACCAUAAAACCACUCCCUUAAAAUAAAAUAAAAACUGUAGGCUAUUCGUUAACUUUAAAUACAGGCCAACUAGUCUGAUUUUGACAACUUUAUGAUUUAACUGGUUCACGUUUUAGUUUAUAAAACUCAGAAGUAACUUAAACAUCCACUGAGCACUAGUGUCUUACUACCGGUUAAGCAUUUUAGAAUAAAUUCUGCAGCCUGCUUGAGAAUACUUGGUGUACUAAAUGUUGCAAAGAAGUAUAAUCUUAAGUAUAUUUUCCUGAUGUGUAGGCCUAUACUUGUUCAAAAGUGAACUAAGUAGGCUUUCUUAUUUUAAGAAAGAAUUCUAUAUUCGUGUGCUUAUAAAACUUUAUGGAGUCCAACUUGUCAAAGUUUCUUUAUUUAAUUAGUAGGAUGAUAGGACAGCUCCUUAUUCCCAAAUUCCCCUCCUUAGUCAUUGAGAAUUAUUUUAAGAGCUCCAGUCCUAUAGAAAAAUUCCACAAUGCAUUAUGCUACAUCCUCAGCUUGGUUAGACUUUAGCGGAUAUGCCUCGACCCACAUCGUUUUGUGGGUUUUCUUCUUUCAUAGUAAUUUUCCUUCAUACUUUUUUGCCAGUAUGGGCGUGAAAUAGGUAUUAAAUUCUAUUCAAAGUGGUCUUAAAAUGGUCUUAAAAAGUCUUAAAUUUAACUUGUUGAAACCUGCAGGAACCCUGUUACAGUCUCAUUCCCUCCAAAACUCCCUGGUUUGUCCCCUAAAACUUCCUCCCUGCAACACAGUCCCCAAUCUCAAAGUGACCCUCCCACAGAACUAAUAGCCACUACCACUACAGCGACAUCUCCCUCAAAAAUCCCCAACAACACAUUUCCUUCCCCGCCCUCAUGUCAUGGUUCUGUCUUUUUGUUUCUAUUUUUCCUGUGUGGGCCGCCAAUUGGCGGCACUUCUCAGUUUUUGUAUUUCUGUUUCCCCUGUGUUAAUUGUAUUAUUGUUUUCCAUUAUUGUCUCCUUAUUUAAUCAUCGUCCCCACCUGCCUCUCAUUUUCCCUUCCCUCUCGUUUGAUUAUGUAUUGAGUUCACCUGUGUCUUGUCUAUUUAAGUUCUUUGUCCCCUUGACUCGGGUGCUGGUUCCUUGUGUUUGUUUCUGACCAUAUGUAUCUGCCUGCUUUUGUCCUGCUUGUGUUUCAUUUGUUUUUCUGACUGUGUUCCUGCCUGCUUUUGGACCUGUCUGUGUUCUGUCCUGUCUGUGUUCUGCCCGUGCUGUUUCUGUUCCCUGUGUCUGCUACGCUUUGAGUGUUUUGAGUUCCUUUACGUGUUUCCUGGUUUUUUUUAUUUUUCUUUUGGAAUUGCCCCUCGUGGCCUUUUGUUUGUUAUGUUUUGUUUUGUUAGUAAAGUCUUUAUUUGAAUCUA